UCAGCUUUUAGUGUUUCGACGCAGUGGGCUAUGUAGAGAUACCACUCUGUGAAAGUCGUGUCUAAGACUGAGUUAAUCCGGCUAUUAUAAGAUUCCCUGUGGUCACUGCAGGAGCGAAAGACGUACAAAUUGUCGCAGAAGAUACCAACGGUGGGUUAAAUACGCUACACCGAUACGCCUGCGAGGCCUUCUAUGGCGGUCCGAUUCUAUUUCUGACUCAAAGCUUCAGUUUUACGCUCAAGCGGAAAGUACCACACCAAGGAAAACAAAAGACGAUGCUAGAACGCAUUCCUCAGUUAAAGAGAACUAGUCAGCCCUACGAUUUUCUCAUUACAGGUUAUUUUACGAUACUUAAUUUUGGUGUUUUUUUCUCGAAAUAUUUUUGGCUAUGAUUUUCACAAAGAGCUGUGUCAAAAAAUAGGUGAAAAUUAAGGAAAAAAGUUUCGAAAUAUCAAACGCCAAAAUUAAGUAUCGUAAAAUAACCUAUUAUGAGAAAAGCUAAGAAUAGCUUUGGGUUCAAGAGCCUCAACCAAAUUGCUUCGAACCACCGAAAUCGCAUAACCAAAUCGCACAAGAAUUGACUUGACCGAAAUCGCAUUAGAAUUUACCGAAAUCGCAUUAAAAUUGACCCAGAUCGCACAAGAAUUGACCGAAAUCGCAUAAGAAUUGACCUAAAUCGCAUAAAAACUGACCGAAAUCGCACAAGAAUUGACCUAAAUCGCAUAAGAACUGACCGAAAUCGCAUUAAAAUUGACCCAGAUCGCACAAGAAUUGACCGAAAUCGCACAAGAAUUGACCUAAAUCGCAUAAGAACUGACCGAAAUCGCACAAGAAUUGACUUGACCGAAAUCCCUUAAUUAAGAACUGGCCGAAAUCGCAUAAGAAUUGACCGAAAUCGCAUAAGAACUGACCGAAAUCGCAUAAGAAUUGACCGAAAUCGCAUAAGAACUGACCCAAAUCGCACAAGAAUUGACUUUACCGAAAUCGCAUUAGAAAUGACCCAGAUCGCACAAGAAUUGGCCGAAAUCGCAUAAGAACUGACCUAAAUCGCAUAGGGACUGAACUGACUCAAUCGUCUUUAACCGGUUAGCCUUAGGGCGAAGGGGGCGGGCAAGCCCACAACGACACACUCGGCGCCAAAAUGUUGGUCAUUAAUGAUCCUCAAAUACAACAACAUGAAAAUAACAACAACGACGAAGCAAGAACAAAAAUGAUAAUAAUAUUUGUGUUGAAGGUGAAAAAAACCCUCCUAUCCCAUCUUGGUGUGUGGAUUCCGGAUCCUAGUGUGUGGAUUCCGGAUUCCAGUAGCAUGGAUUCUGGAUUUCAAGUCUCAUUUCUUCAUAGAUUCCGGAUUCCGGAUUACCUGUCAUGGGGCGGGUCCAAGGCUGGACAUGGAGUGCUACCACCUCGUCACAGCAAUCCCGAUCAUUGAUCACCAAAAACAACAACAACAACAACAACAACAAUAAUAAUCAUAAUCAUAACCAUUGUCCAAGGACCGUGAAGUGUUCUAAGCAGCUGCCCUUGCUGCGUCACCUAGCUGGGUGUUUGCAGUUCACCUGGUUGUCGAGUCUGUCCAAUUUGUGGGGUGGAAAAAGUCUUAUUAAAGUCGAAAAUUUGGCAGAGUCGACUACCAGUUUCUAGUGAACCGCAUUUAUACUUUGGUUAACGAACACGACUACCUAAUUCUUCUUUAUUUUCUUAAAUUUCGGCGAUCGCGGUAAAAACUUCCAGUCUUUCCAGGGGAUUUAAUUUCGUGAAUUUGAUGUUCAAAUGACUUUUCUUCGUUUUUUACAAAAUAAAUGACGUUGACCGAC